AAAGUGUAAACUUGUGGAAAUAAAAUAUAUAGCAAAGUCGUUGACAUAAAAUAUCACAAAAGUCAUUCUCGACUCUACAAAUAUAUACUUACUAGAUUUUAAUCCGCGGUACAUAAAAGUUUGUAAAUUGUAUCUAUCUAUAAAAUAUUUUUAUUUUGUAAUUUACAAUUGUUAUUAAGUAACAUCUUGCCAAACCCGUCCCGCCAACCCGUCCCAUAAAAAAACCAUUUCUUUUAUUAAUGUUAAUCUUAUUUAUGAUAUGUUUAUGAAUUAUUGUCUAAAUAUUUUGUAAUUUUGUAGUAAUUAAAUGCUAUCAAAUAUCUCUGCGGUUUGAUGAUUAUAAUCGAAUUGUUAUAAUCAUGGAGAAAAUCAAUAUCAAAAAUGAUAAUUUUGAAGUAAUUAAAUGAUAGUAAAUAUUUUGGAAGUUUUAUUUUAGUAACUAAUGUGGAGAGUUUUAGGAAAGAUUGUUAAAUGUCAAAUAUUUAUUUCGAAGAUGUUUUUUUUAAUUAUUAAAAACAAACAUUAAAAUUCAGUGGCAGCCAUUGUAAAUAAGUCCCAACUACAGAAUUUAUUUCACAAAAUAACUGCAAAAAUGUAUAUAUAGAUUCUAAGAGAAAAAUAUUAAACUAACAUAUAUUUGUAAAUUGCAAUAGUAUUGACUUAUCCGAUUAUGUAACUU
rnacentral:sRNA from 1 species